rnacentral:rRNA from 1 species
UUGAACGCUGGCGGCAGGCCUAACACAUGCAAGUCGAGCGGUAGCACAGAGAGCUUGCUCUCGGGUGACGAGCGGCGGACGGGUGAGUAAUGUCUGGGAAACUGCCUGAUGGAGGGGGAUAACUACUGGAAACGGUAGCUAAUACCGCAUAACGUCGCAAGACCAAAGUGGGGGACCUUCGGGCCUCAUGCCAUCAGAUGUGCCCAGAUGGGAUUAGCUAGUAGGUGGGGUAACGGCUCACCUAGGCGACGAUCCCUAGCUGGUCUGAGAGGAUGACCAGCCACACUGGAACUGAGACACGGUCCAGACUCCUACGGGAGGCAGCAGUGGGGAAUAUUGCACAAUGGGCGCAAGCCUGAUGCAGCCAUGCCGCGUGUGUGAAGAAGGCCUUCGGGUUGUAAAGCACUUUCAGCGGGGAGGAAGGCGAUAAGGUUAAUAACCUUGUCGAUUGACGUUACCCGCAGAAGAAGCACCGGCUAACUCCGUGCCAGCAGCCGCGGUAAUACGGAGGGUGCAAGCGUUAAUCGGAAUUACUGGGCGUAAAGCGCACGCAGGCGGUCUGUCAAGUCGGAUGUGAAAUCCCCGGGCUCAACCUGGGAACUGCAUUCGAAACUGGCAGGCUAGAGUCUUGUAGAGGGGGGUAGAAUUCCAGGUGUAGCGGUGAAAUGCGUAGAGAUCUGGAGGAAUACCGGUGGCGAAGGCGGCCCCCUGGACAAAGACUGACGCUCAGGUGCGAAAGCGUGGGGAGCAAACAGGAUUAGAUACCCUGGUAGUCCACGCCGUAAACGAUGUCGAUUUGGAGGUUGUGCCCUUGAGGCGUGGCUUCGGGAGCUAACGUGUUAACUCGACCGCCUGGGGAGUACUGCCGCGAGGUGAAAACGCAAAUGAUGUGACAGGGGCCCGGACAAGGGGUGGUGCAUGUGGUUUAAUUCGAUGCAACGCGAAGAACCUUACCUGGUCUUGACAUCCACAGAACUUUCCAGAGAUGGAUUGGUGCCUUCGGGAACUGUGAGACAGGUGCUGCAUGGCUGUCGUCAGCUCGUGUUGUGAAAUGUUGGGUUAAGUCCCGCAACGAGCGCAACCCUUAUCCUUUGUUGCCAGCGGUUAGGCCGGGAACUCAAAGGAGACUGCCAGUGAUAAACUGGAGGAAGGUGGGGAUGACGUCAAGUCAUCAUGGCCCUUACGACCAGGGCUACACACGUGCUACAAUGGCAUAUACAAAGAGAAGCGACCUCGCGAGAGCAAGCGGACCUCAUAAAGUAUGUCGUAGUCCGGAUUGGAGUCUGCAACUCGACUCCAUGAAGUCGGAAUCGCUAGUAAUCGUAGAUCAGAAUGCUACGGUGAAUACGUUCCCGGGCCUUGUACACACCGCCCGUCACACCAUGGGAGUGGGUUGCAAAAGAAGUAGGUAGCUUAACCUUCGGGAGGGCGCUUACCACUUUGUGAUUCAUGACUGGGGUG